rnacentral:rRNA from 1 species
CAAUCUUUGACGCAAAUUGCGCUCUUGGGUAGCCCUAGGAGCACGCCUCUCUCAGUAUCGGUUCAACCACCUCUCAGCAGCGUAUGCAAAUGCGCGUUGGCUGGAGAAUGAGAGUCGAAUCCUCACCGAUUCGUCUCUUGAAAUACAUCGAGUGAGUCUCAUAUUCUCUAUACGCGUGUCUUCGGGCACAAGCUCGUCUUCGACUGGCGGUAUGGGAGUGACGUGAAUACUGACCCUCUGUGGUCUCACAUUUACGUGUAACUUUCAUUCGCUAUACAAAAGUCGAUCAGGAGUGUUGGAGGAGAGUGACUCAUGUCCAGCGGCCUCGGCUGCAAUCGGCUUGAAUGCAAAUUUGAGUCUGAAUUUUGAUCUGAGAUGAAGCGAGACAACCCCCUGAAUUUAAGCAUAUUAAUAAGGGGAGGAAAAGAAACUAACAAGGAUUCCCCCAGUAACGGCGAGUGAAGCGGGAAGAGCUCAAUUUGAAAAUCGACUACCUAAGCGGGUCGUCGAGUUGUAGCCUAGAGACGUACUAUCAGCUGAAACCUGGGUAUAAGUUCUUUGGAAUGAGGCAUCAUAGAGGGUGAGAAUCCCGUAUAUGACCCAAAGCUUUCAGCGUACGAUGUAUGUUCAUCGAGUCGAGUUGUUUGGGAUUGCAGCUCUAAAUGGGUGGUAAGUUUCUCUAAAGCUAAAUAUGGCGA